rnacentral:ncRNA from 11 species
AUGUGAUUUCUGCCCAGUGCUCUGA